rnacentral:rRNA from 1 species
GUGCCAGCAGCCGCGGUAAUACGGAGGGUGCAAGCGUUAAUCGGAAUUACUGGGCGUAAAGCGUGUGUAGGUGGUUCGUUAAGUCGGAUGUGAAAGCCCCGGGCUCAACCUGGGAACUGCAUUCGAUACUGACGGACUAGAGUUUAGCAGAGGAAAGCGGAAUUCCGGGUGUAGCGGUGAAAUGCGUAGAUAUCCGGAGGAACACCAGUGGCGAAGGCGGCUUUCUGGGUUAAAACUGACACUGAGGCACGAAAGCGUGGGUAGCAAACAGGAUUAGAUACCCUGGUAGUCCACGCCCUAAACGAUGUCGACUGGCUGUCGGGUUCAUUUGGAACUUGGUAGCGAAGCUAACGCGUUAAGUCGACCGCCUGGGGAGUACGGCCGCAAGGUUGAAACUUAAAUGAAUUGGCGGGG